rnacentral:rRNA from 1 species
GAUUAAGUUAUUAAGGGCGCACGGUGGAUGCCUUGGCACUAGAAGCCGACGAAGGACGUUACUAACGACGAUAUGCUUUGGGUAGCUGUAAGUAAGCGUUGAUCCAGAGAUUUCCGAAUGGGGGAACCCAGCACGAGUUAUGUCGUGUUAUCGACAAGUGAAUUCAUAGCUUGUCAGAAGGCAGACCCGGAGAACUGAAACAUCUUAGUACCCGGAGGAAGAGAAAGAAAAAUCGAUUCCCUGAGUAGCGGCGAGCGAAACGGGAAGAGCCCAAACCAAUAAGCUUGCUUAUUGGGGUUGUAGGACACUCUAUACGGAGUUACAAAGGAAUAUAUUAGACGAAUCAUCUGGAAAGUUGAAUCAAAGAAGGUAAUAAUCCUGUAGUUGAAAAUAUAUUCUCUCUUGAGUGGAUCCUGAGUACGACGGAGCACGUGAAAUUCCGUCGGAAUCUGGGAGGACCAUCUCCUAAGGCUAAAUACUCUCUAGUGACCGAUAGUGAACCAGUACCGUGAGGGAAAGGUGAAAAGUACCCCGGAAGGGGAGUGAAAGAGAACUUGAAACCGUGUGCUUACAAGUAGUCAGAGCCCGUUAAUGGGUGAUGGCGUGCCUUUUGUAGAAUGAACCGGCGAGUUACGAUCUGAUGCAAGGUUAAGCAGGAAAUGUGGAGCCGUAGCGAAAGCGAGUCUGAAUAGGGCGUUGAGUAUUUGGUCGUAGACCCGAAACCAGGUGAUCUACCCAUGGUCAGGUUGAAGUUCAGGUAACACUGAAUGGAGGACCGAACCGACUUACGUUGAAAAGUGAGCGGAUGAACUGUGGGUAGCGGAGAAAUUCCAAUCGAACUUGGAGAUAGCUGGUUCUCUCCGAAAUAGCUUUAGGGCUAGCCUCAAGUGAUGAUUAUUGGAGGUAGAGCACUGUUUGGACGAGGGGCCCCUCUCGGGUUACCGAAUUCAGACAAACUCCGAAUGCCAAUUAAUUUAACUUGGGAGUCAGAACAUGGGUGAUAAGGUCCGUGUUCGAAAGGGAAACAGCCCAGACCACCAGCUAAGGUCCCAAAAUAUAUGUUAAGUGGAAAAGGAUGUGGCGUUGCCCAGACAACUAGGAUGUUGGCUUAGAAGCAGCCAUCAUUUAAAGAGUGCGUAAUAGCUCACUAGUCGAGUGACACUGCGCCGAAAAUGUACCGGGGCUAAACAUAUUACCGAAGCUGUGGAUUGUCCGUAGGACAAUGGUAGGAGAGCGUUCUAAGGGCGUUGAAGCAUGAUCGCAAGGACAUGUGGAGCGCUUAGAAGUGAGAAUGCCGGUGUGAGUAGCGAAAGACGGGUGAGAAUCCCGUCCACCGAUUGACUAAGGUUUCCAGAGGAAGGCUCGUCCGCUCUGGGUUAGUCGGGUCCUAAGCUGAGGCCGACAGGCGUAGGCGAUGGAUAACAGGUUGAUAUUCCUGUACCACCUAGCAUCGUUUUAAUCGAUGGGGGGACGCAGUAGGAUAGGCGAAGCGUACGAUUGGAUUGUACGUCUAAGCAGUGAGAUUGAGUGUUAGGCAAAUCCGGCACUCUUAAGAUUGAGCUGUGAUGGGGAGAGGAAAUUGUUUCCUCGAGUCGUUGAUUUCACACUGCCGAGAAAAGCCUCUAGAUAGAUAAUAGGUGCCCGUACCGCAAACCGACACAGGUAGUCAAGAUGAGAAUUCUAAGGUGAGCGAGCGAACUCUCGUUAAGGAACUCGGCAAAAUGACCCCGUAACUUCGGGAGAAGGGGUGCUCUUUAGGGUGCAAGCCCAGAAGAGCCGCAGUGAAUAGGCCCAAGCGACUGUUUAUCAAAAACACAGGUCUCUGCUAAACCGUAAGGUGAUGUAUAGGGGCUGACGCCUGCCCGGUGCUGGAAGGUUAAGAGGAGUGGUUAGCUUCUGCGAAGCUACGAAUCGAAGCCCCAGUAAACGGCGGCCGUAACUAUAACGGUCCUAAGGUAGCGAAAUUCCUUGUCGGGUAAGUUCCGACCCGCACGAAAGGCGUAACGAUUUGGGCACUGUCUCAACGAGAGACUCGGUGAAAUCAUAGUACCUGUGAAGAUGCAGGUUACCCGCGACAGGACGGAAAGACCCCGUGGAGCUUUACUGUAGCCUGAUAUUGAAAUUCGGCACAGCUUGUACAGGAUAGGUAGGAGCCUUUGAAACGUGAGCGCUAGCUUACGUGGAGG